rnacentral:rRNA from 1 species
CACCAAGAAGUUAAGUCAUACUUAAAUGGUAAAAAGACAGUUAGACUUAAAAUAUUUAAAGUUUUUUAACCUUUUAUAGAAAAGUAAAAUUUGUAUAUAAAUGUAUAAUUUAAUAACAGCUAUAAAGUUGAAUCUGUGACAGCCUGGAGGGAAACUGGGAUUAGAUACCCCAUUAUUCCUGGCUAUAAAUUAAAAUUAAAUUUACCAGAGUACUAUGAAUAUUAUAAAAUUUAAAACUCAAAGGACUUGGCGGUGUUUUAGACCAUUUAGGGGAACCUGUCCCAUAAUCGAUAAUCCGCGUUACACCUAACCUUUUUUUGCUUUCAGCUUGUAUAUCGUUGUCGUCAGGUAACUUUUUAGAAAUUAGAAGUUAGCUAAAAAUAGUAAGUUUAAACGUCAAAUCAAGGUGCAGCUAAUAAAAAGGUGAGGAUGGGUUACAAUUAUUUUAAUUAUAAUUACAGAAAAUCAUAAGAAUUAAUGAUAAUAAAGGAGGACUUAAAAGUAAAUUAGAUUAUAUAAAUAAUUUGAAUAAGGCUCUGAAAUGUGC